CCCACGGUCUGCAGAAUGGACCCCUCCUGAUCACAUUGCCAGUUACUGCAAAAUGUGGCUUCGCAAGCCCCUCGAAAAAGAACUCAGAAAUAAAUUGAGGGCUGAAUGCCCAAGACCUACUAUUCCGGGCAAAGUUGCCUCUACCCCUGAGUUCGACCUCAUGCUUGUCACUUUUUUGACUAAAUCUGGCAAAGACCCUCGUAAGGGUAUAGAGCAAGGGUUGAAAGCAGCCCAAGACAAGCUUUUGGACAUUUCAGGUCCUAUAAUCCAGAUUUUUAUCCUGGCAGAUGAGGCACUCACUAGUGGUGAAUUCGAUCCACACACUAUCAGAGAAUGGGCUCAGAGAGCUCUUUG